rnacentral:lncRNA from 1 species
AUUUAUAUGGAAAACCGGCUGAUUUGAUAAUCCCUAUAUCGGGGAAUGGAGAUAAUGGAUUUUGGUUUAGAAUUGAGAGUGAAUCAGAAUUACAUGGGCAGAGAGUUGUGAUUCCAAAGAAUACUUACAAAGCUGUGAUGGAAAUUUAUGUGUCGUUUCACGGGGAUGAUGAGUUUUGGUACUCAAAUCCGCCUGAUUCAUAUAAUGGAAAUUUAUGUAUCGUUUCACGGGGAUGAUGAGUUUUGGUACUCUAAUCCGCCAGAUUCAUAUCUCAAGAUGAAUAAUUUGACCACAAAAAGAGGCCAUGGAGCUUAUAGGGAAGUUUUGUUAAAGAUAGAUG